CACAUACUCCGUUCUCCUGUGGACUACUGUAGGAAUCUCUGUACACAGGUCCACAUGUUUCCCCACAGACUUAGCUUUCUGCACAGAAUACUCAGCAAUCUUUUAAAAAAUAUAAAUUGCAUCAUAUCAUUCCAUUCCCCAGCUUAAAACACUCCAAAGCUUGGGGUGCCUAGAUGGCUCAGUCAGUUGAGCGUCCGACUUUGGCUCAGGUCAUGAUCUCGCAGUUCGUGAGUUUGAGCCCUGCUUCAGGCCUGCACUGACAGCUCAGACCCUGGAGCCUGCUUCAGAUUCUGUGUCUCCCUCGCUCUCUGCCCUUCCUCUGCUUGUACUCUGUCUCUCUCUCAAAAAUAAGUAAACAUUAAAAAAUAAAAAUACACUCCAAAACUUAUAGUUACGUUUUUAAAAUUCAUUCACGUGGUUGCAUAUUAUCAUCGUUCACUUGUUUGUAUUUCUAUAUAAUAUUCCACUGUGUGCCUGUACCAUAGGUAAGUUAUCCAUUCCACUUGGAAAAGGGAAUGCGGGUUGUUUCCAGUUUGUAUCUGUCCCCAGGUACACGUCUGCGUAUAUUUCUGUAGGGUAUAGACCUAUGACUGUAGUUGCUGGGUUGUAUAUUAUGCAGACACAACAGAAUUAAUCAAAGCCAGGGAACAGUAAACUAGGAUUAUAAAAUUAGUGAGGCUAUUAAAAAAAAAAAAAAGGAAGGGAAAGAAUGUUAUAAAGUGAUUACCAUGAGAGAGGGAGGAGAAGGCUGCGAUUGGGAUAGGAUAUAUUCUAGUUGUUGACCUGGAUGCUAUUUAUUUUGUAACAGUUUGUGAAAAUGUACAUUUACAUUUUAUGUACUCACCUGCCUGGUUGCUGUAUUUGAUGAUAAAAGUAGCCAGCCCCUCUAAAUAAUGUACAGUAUAAAUACAAAACUCAAAUGAAAACCUCCCAAGGCUUUACACUGCACUUGAAAUAGAACUCGGGCCCUUCCAUGGUCAGUGAGUUCGGUGUAUAUGACUGUGGCUACCUAUUUUCCACCGUCCACUCAAUCACUUUUUAACUUCGUCCUAAAACUCAUCUCAAGGCACUAGUCAUUAAUAUACAGGCCAGUGAUAAUUUAUAUUACCUAUAUUAAUAGGUAUUAUAGGUAAUGCCUAUAUUAAUAUACAGGCUAGUUUUGAAUUUUCCUGCCAUGUGGUCUCUAACUACUCCACCCUGCCUCUGUAGCACAGAAGCAGCAGGAGACCAUACCAGGACAAAUGAGCAUGGCUGUGUGAUGAUAAAAAUUGUUUUAAAAAAUAGGUGCCCCUAAUUUACGUUUACUCUUAAUCUAAAGUGUUAUUUGUUGUAAUUUAUGUUAAGGAAUCUGGGGCUCAGAGGGUUUAAGAUGUUUGUUCAGGUUCACAUAGUCA